rnacentral:tRNA from 1 species
GGAUAUGUGCCUGAAUACAAGGACUACUUUGAUAGAGUAGAUAAUAGAGGUUAAAGUCCUCUCAUUUCCU